ensembl:snRNA U6 U6 spliceosomal RNA
GUGCUCACUUUGGAAGCGUAUAUACUAAGAUUGAAACAAUACAGAGAAGAUUUGCUGGCCCUUCUAUAAAGAGGAAAAGAGAAUUUAUGAAGCAUUUCAUAUUUUU